UGCAGUCGAGCGGGGUUUUCGGACCUAGCGGCGGACGGGUGAGUAAUGCGUAGGAAGCUACCCGAUAGAGGGGGAUACCAGUUGGAAACGACUGUUAAUACCGCAUAAUGUCUACGGACCAAAGUGUGGGACCUUCGGGCCACAUGCUAUCGGAUGCGCCUACGUGGGAUUAGCUAGUUGGUGAGGUAAUGGCUCACCAAGGCGACGAUCUCUAGCUGGUUUGAGAGGAUGAUCAGCCACACUGGAACUGAGACACGGUCCAGACUCCUACGGGAGGCAGCAGUGGGGAAUAUUGGACAAUGGGCGCAAGCCUGAUCCAGCCAUGCCGCGUGUGUGAAGAAGGCCUUCGGGUUGUAAAGCACUUUCAGCGAGGAGGAAGGGAGUUGUGUUAAUAGCACAGCUUCUUGGCGUUACUCGCAGAAGAAGCACCGGCUAACUCUGUGCCAGCAGCCGCGGUAAUACAGAGGGUGCAAGCGUUAAUCGGAAUUACUGGGCGUAAAGCGCACGUAGGCGGUUUUUUAAGUCAGAUGUGAAAGCCCCGGGCUCAACCUGGGAAUUGCAUUUGAAACUGGAAAACUAGAGUGUGUGAGAGGGGGGUAGAAUUCCAAGUGUAGCGGUGAAAUGCGUAGAGAUUUGGAGGAAUACCAGUGGCGAAGGCGGCCCCCUGGCACAACACUGACGCUCAGGUGCGAAAGCGUGGGGGGCAAACAGGAUUAGAUACCCUGGUAGUCCACGCCGUAAACGAUGUCUACUAGCUGUUCGUGGUCUUGUACUGUGAGUAGCGCAGCUAACGCACUAAGUAGACCGCCUGGGGAGUACGGUCGCAAGAUUAAAACUCAAAUGAAUUGACGGGGGCCUGCACAAGCGGUGGAGCAUGUGGUUUAAUUCGACGCACCGCGAAGAACCUUACCUACUCUUGACAUCUACGGAAGUUUGCAGAGAUGCAGAUGUGCCUUCGGGAACCGUAGACAGGUGCUGCAUGGCUGUCGUCAGCUCGUGUUGUGAAAU
rnacentral:rRNA from 1 species